AGCGACGCCGCGUGAGGGAUGACGGCCUUCGGGUUGUAAACCUCUUUCGACAGGGACGAAGCGCAAGUGACGGUACCUGUAGAAGAAGCACCGGCCAACUACGUGCCAGCAGCCGCGGUAAUACGUAGGGUGCGAGCGUUGUCCGGAAUUACUGGGCGUAAAGAGCUUGUAGGCGGUUUGUCGCGUCGUCUGUGAAAACUCACAGCUCAACUGUGAGCUUGCAGGCGAUACGGGCAGACUUGAGUACUGCAGGGGAGACUGGAAUUCCUGGUGUAGCGGUGAAAUGCGCAGAUAUCAGGAGGAACACCGGUGGCGAAGGCGGGUCUCUGGGCAGUAACUGACGCUGAGAAGCGAAAGCGUGGGUAGCGAACAGGAUUAGAUACCCUGGUAGUCCACGCCGUAAACGGUGGGCGCUAGGUGUGGGUUUCCUUCCACGGGAUCCGUGCCGUAGCUAACGCAUUAAGCGCCCCGCCUGGGGAGUACGGCCGCAAGGCUAAAACUCAAAGGAAUUGACGGGGGCCCGCACAAGCGGCGGAGCAUGUGGAUUAAUUCGAUGCAACGCGAAGAACCUUACCUGGGUUUGACAUACACCGGAAACCUGCAGAGAUGUAGGCCCCCUUGUGGUCGGUGUACAGGUGGUGCAUGGCUGUCGUCAGCUCGUGUCGUGAGAUGUUGGGUUAAGUCCCGCAACGAGCGCAACCCUUGUCCUGUGUUGCCAGCGGAUUAUGCCGGGGACUCGCAGGAGACUGCCGGGGUCAACUCGGAGGAAGGUGGGGACGACGUCAAGUCAUCAUGCCCCUUAUGUCCAGGGCUUCACACAUGCUACAAUGGCCGGUACAGAGGGCUGCGAUACCGUGAGGUGGAGCGAAUCCCUUAAAGCCGGUCUCAGUUCGGAUCGGGGUCUGCAACUCGACCCCGUGAAGUUGGAGUCGCUAGUAAUCGCAGAUCAGCAACGCUGCGGUGAAUACGUUCCCGGGCCUUGUACACACCGCCCGUCACGUCAUGAAAGUCGGUAACACCCGAAGC
rnacentral:rRNA from 1 species